rnacentral:rRNA from 1 species
ACUGCGAAUGGCUCAUUAAAUCAGUUAUCGUUUAUUUGAUAGUACCUUACUACAUGGAUAACCGUGGUAAUUCUAGAGCUAAUACAUGCUAAAAACCCCGACUUCGGGAGGGGUGUAUUUAUUAGAUAAAAAACCAAUGCCCUUCGGGGCUCUCUGGUGAUUCAUAAUAACUUAACGAAUCGCAUGGCCUUGCGCCGGCGAUGGUUCAUUCAAAUUUCUGCCCUAUCAACUUUCGAUUGUAGGAUAGAGGCCUACAAUGGUAUCAACGGGUAACGGGGAAUUAGGGUUCGAUUCCGGAGAGGGAGCCUGAGAAACGGCUACCACAUCCAAGGAAGGCAGCAGGCGCGCAAAUUACCCAAUCCCGACACGGGGAGGUAGUGACAAUAAAUACUGAUACAGGGCUCUUUUGGGUCUUGUAAUUGGAAUGAGUACAAUCUAAAUCCCUUAACGAGGAACAAUUGGAGGGCAAGUCUGGUGCCAGCAGCCGCGGUAAUUCCAGCUCCAAUAGCGUAUAUUAAAGUUGUUGCAGUUAAAAAGCUCGUAGUUGAACCUUGGGCCUGGCUGGCCGGUCCGCCUCACCGCGUGCACUGGUUCGGCCGGGCCUUUCCUUCUGGGGAACCGCAUGCCCUUCACUGGGCGUGUUGGGGAACCAGGACUUUUACUUUGAAAAAAUUAGAGUGUUCAAAGCAGGCCUUCGCUCGAAUACAUUAGCAUGGAAUAAUAGAAUAGGACGUGCGGUUCUAUUUUGUUGGUUUCUAGGACCGCCGUAAUGAUUAAUAGGGAUAGUCGGGGCCAUCCGUAUUCAAUUGUCAGAGGUGAAAUUCUUGGAUUUAUUGAAGACGAACUACUGCGAAAGCAUUUGGCAAGGAUGUUUUCAUUAAUCAGUGAACGAAAGUUAGGGGAUCGAAGACGAUCAGAUACCGUCGUAGUCUUAACCAUAAACUAUGCCGACUAGGGAUCGGACGGUGUUAUUAUUUUGACCCGUUCGGCACCUUACGAGAAAUCAAAGUCUUUGGGUUCUGGG